GUCCACGCCGUAAACGUUGGGCGCUAGGUGUGGGGAACCUUCCACGUUCUCCGUGCCGCAGCUAACGCAUUAAGCGCCCCGCCUGGGGAGUACGGCCGCAAGGCUAAAACUCAAAGGAAUUGACGGGGGCCCGCACAAGCGGCGGAGCAUGUGGCUUAAUUCGAUGCAACGCGAAGAACCUUACCAAGGCUUGACAUGCAGGGAAAACUGUCAGAGAUGGCAGGUCCGCAAGGGCUCUGCACAGGUGGUGCAUGGUUGUCGU
rnacentral:rRNA from 1 species